ensembl:lncRNA
GUUUUCCUAUGUGUCAGUUUAUCUAUGUCCCAGUUUAGUUUUGUUAUAUUUUUUGUGCUAGCCUGCAAUAAAGCAGUGUUUUGAGUUCACUUUUGUCUUGGAACAGUGCAGCAUCCAGCAAGUAGGAGCGUCACCUGGAGCGAUGAACCUUCACCAUGAGGAAAAACGCCGCCAAGUCACCAGACCACAUGGAGAGCAGGAGGCAGCAGCUCCAGAGAAAGCAGGAUGUGCAGCCUCAGAGAGGAGGAGGCUGCAGCUGCAAUUGUCAUGGCUGUGUGCAGGCAGGCAGGAAAAGGAUCCAAACGCAGACUCCAAAACACAGAAGAAAAACUCAAAACACUUUAUUGCUGGCAACAACAAAACAGAGACCUAAACCUAAAACAGGACAGAAAACACAAUUUCCCGGAGCUGUGACCCUGGACCCCUGAGUGCGAGUGGAGCUGUUCAGCGUGAAGUUGUGUGUGCGAGGAGCGUGGAGAGUGUGUGAGGACCUUGUGUUUCCCUACCCUGUGGACCAUAUUCCCCCCCACGUGUAUAUAGAGCACCUGGUGUGGUUAAUAAAGCUAAGUUAAUCUGUG